UAGCAAAGCUGGUGUGUUUAAAUUUGUAGAUUGUCAGUCUUUUGGCUCUGGAGUAGGGACAAGUACAAACAUAAAAACCAGUUUUUCAGUGAAUACCUUUUUUGGAGAAAAAGAAGGCAGCGUGGCAUGGGUGUGGGGUAAUGGACAGGCUCUGUCUGGGAGCCAGGGAUUUGUUCUGGGCACCUUUGGGGGCUGCAGCAGCCUCCACCAUCCUCUCUGUAGCCCCCCUGGUGAUGGUCGGCUCAGAUAGGCACCUUGAGCUGUUUCCAAUCUCCUGGUUUCAUUUUCAGUUGCAAAGAAUUCCCUGGAAAAUGACAAAGUUAAAAAUGCAGAUGGGGAAUUCCUCCAGGAGAGCUUCUUGGGAAAAAAAAAAAAAAGCAUCCCUUUUUCCUUACAAAGUCUGAACUGUAAAACUCCCCCUUCCUCUGACUCAUGUUUCAUUGUAACAGCGGAACAGAACUAUUCUUCAGAAAUGUUGUUCAUGGGUUGCGUUUAUUUUCAGGGUCUGUUUAAACUGUAAGACAGAGUUGAUGAGAAUUUAUUAUUUUGAAAUGAUCAGAAAGGUCAUGAUAUAAUUUUUAUAUUUAACCCAAGAUGCAUGGUAUGAAAUGAAGUACAGAGUGGGUCACAGUUUGAGAGCUGCUUUAAGGCUUUCCUUGAAGAGAGCUUCCCUCAACCACGCUGACCGUCACCGGCCACAGAGAGCCGCAGUUGCAGGUAGUCCUCCCAUGAAUGGGUUGUGACUGGUUCUACCUAAAGACUCUCUUCUGGGCUCAGCAAUCUUCAGGGAAGAUGGACUCCAGGACCUGAGAGUGGAGGAAAGAAUGCCAAGUCCAGGCAGAGAGAGAGAGAGAGAGCGAGCAGGGAAGAGGGGCAGAGGCAGAGGGAGAAGCAAACGCACCGUUGAGCCGGGAUCCCGAUGCGGGGCUCCAUCCCAGGACCCUGGGAUCAUGACCUGAGCCGAAGGCAGACGCUAAACAGACUGAGCCACCCAGGCGUCCCUGCAUCUUAGUUUUAAUGGAAAACAGUAAUAAAUGCCUUACCACUGCCUUAGUCAGCUCGGGCUGCCAUCACAAAAUACCACGGAUGGUGUGGCUUAAGCAACAGAAGUUUAUUUUUUCAGUUUGGGAGGCUGGAAGUCCAAGAUCAAGGUUCCAGCUGCUUUGGUUUCUGUGGCAAAAGAUCGGAAACAAUUCAGUUGUCUAUUACUGUGGAACUGGCCAAAUCAAUUGUGAUGUGUCAAUACAACAGAAUGCUAAACAAUAAUAUGCUGCAGUAUAAAGGAAGAGGGAAGACUCUAUGUAUUGGUAUGGAAAGACUGACAAGUCCUUGCUUAAAUGGAAAAUAAAACAAGAUGCAGAACAGGAGUGCAUUACCUUUUGUGAAAAACAAGGAGGAAAAAAUGUGUAUUCAUAUGUGCUUGUAUUUGCAUGAAGGGACUCUGAAGAAUAUUCUCAGAUUCUGAUAAAGCGGUUACCGUUUUAGAGAGCUGAGCAGGGAUGGUGUGGGAAUAAAGAUGUUUCACUCUGUAACUCUGAAGAUGGUUUGAUUUUUUGAAACCUGUAAAUGUUUUACCUAUUCAGAAAAAUUGAAAAAAAUUCUGAGCAUUUCCAAUGCUUUUUCCUCCCGCCUGCCUGGGGAGCAGUGGUUAGAACACUUCUGUAGACUCAUUUAUCAUUUAUAUAGCACGUGUAUUGCCUCUUGCCAGAGGCGGGAGGGACAGCUCAUAAUGGGAAAGAGCAUGCCUGGAUUUUGGGGUCAAACCUGGAUUCCUGUUUCGGACCUAUUGCUUACUAGCUGUGUGAUCAAGGCAAAUACUCUGUCUCUGAGCUCUGUUUCUUCACUUGGAAAAUGAGGAUGCAUGUCAAUUUCCAAGUGUUUGAAGAAUAAAUCAGGUGUUAGUAUCAUGCUUAGCGCAGUGGAUGGCAGCUCCUAAGUACUCCCUAAGUGAUGGCUAAUAUGAA